UGCAGUCGACGAUGAAGCUGGAGCUUGCUCCGGCCGAUUAGUGGCGAACGGGUGAGUAACACGUGAGCAAUCUGCCCUUGACUCUGGGAUAACUGCGGGAAACUGUAGCUAAUACCGGAUACUUUCCUCGCUGGGCAUCCAGCGGGGAAGAAAGAAUUUCGGUCAAGGAUGAGCUCGCGGCCUAUCAGCUAGUUGGUGAGGUAAAGGCUCACCAAGGCGACGACGGGUAGCCGGCCUGAGAGGGUGACCGGCCACACUGGAACUGAGACACGGUCCAGACUCCUACGGGAGGCAGCAGUGGGGAAUAUUGCACAAUGGGCGAAAGCCUGAUGCAGCAACGCCGCGUGAGGGAUGAAGGCCUUCGGGUUGUAAACCUCUUUUAGCAGGGAAGAAGCGAAAGUGACGGUACCUGCAGAAAAAGCACCGGCUAACUACGUGCCAGCAGCCGCGGUAAUACGUAGGGUGCAAGCGUUGUCCGGAAUUAUUGGGCGUAAAGAGCUCGUAGGCGGUUUGUCACGUCUGCUGUGAAAAUCCGAGGCUCAACCUCGGACUUGCAGUGGGUACGGGCAGGCUAGAGUGCGGUAGGGGAGAAGGGAAUUCCUGGUGUAGCGGUGGAAUGCGCAGAUAUCAGGAGGAACACCAAUGGCGAAGGCACUUCUCUGGGCCGUAACUGACGCUGAGGAGCGAAAGCGUGGGGAGCGAACAGGAUUAGAUACCCUGGUAGUCCACGCCGUAAACGGUGG
rnacentral:rRNA from 1 species